rnacentral:piRNA from 1 species
UGCUGUGUUUUUCUCUCUCUG